rnacentral:misc_RNA from 1 species
GGUAUAUUAUCUCUAGUAUUUCACUGAUGCAAUUAUUAUCUUCAUUACUUGAACAUCUUCCUUGUUGGAAAAUUUUAUUGAUUUGAGCACAAGAAAAAGGAAGUUUUAUUUACUUUCAUCAAAUGUCUUUUGUUAACUAUUCUUGUAGAUGUGCAUAUUAUGCCUCCAUAGUCCAUACUGAGCAUGCAGUAAGCUAAUAACAGUCCUAGUAUCCCAAUAGUUGUAUAACUUUAAAGGUUCAGCUCUUUGAGGCAUAGGGCAAUCAGAUAGAACUGUUACAAAUAUUGAGUGAGUCUCGAAAGGAUAUUGGAGAUUUUUUUGUUGCUGAAUCUUUUAUCAAUUGUUUAGAAAUGAUGGAUUAGGUCCUUGAUGUAUUGCACUAAUGAUAUUUAGAGUAUUAUUGUUCAUAAUAUCCUUCUUCGUACUUUUAAUAUUACUUAAUUUGAUCCUUUAUUUUAUCCAAAAGUACCCAUGUUGGAUAAGGGCAUUCAGACAUGGGUGUGACAUGUACUUAUAUAUUCUAAUCAAUAUUACAGCGGA